CCGUAGGUGAACCUGCGGAGGGAUCAUUACUGAGUUACCGCUCUAUAACCCUUUGUGAACAUACCUAGCUGUUGCUUCGGCGGGUUAGGGGGUCCCCCCGGGGACGCCCUCCCGGCCGCGCACUCCUCCUCCGGGAGGGGUCGCGGCGCCCGCCGGAGGAUAACCAAACUCUGAUUUAACGACGUUUCUUCUGAGUGGCACAAGCAAAUAAUUAAAACUUUUAACAACGGAUCUCUUGGUUCUGGCAUCGAUGAAGAACGCAGCGAAAUGCGAUAAGUAAUGUGAAUUGCAGAAUUCAGUGAAUCAUCGAAUCUUUGAACGCACAUUGCGCCCGCCAGCAUUCUGGCGGGCAUGCCUGUUCGAGCGUCAUUUCAACCCUCAAGCUUCGCUUGGUGUUGGGGCACUACGGUUGACGUAGGCCCUCAAAAGUAGUGGCGGACCCUCCGGAGCCUCCUUGCGAGUAACUAACGUCCCGUUUCGGGAUCCGGAAGGAACCUUGCCGUAAAACCCCUAACUUUAACUGGUGGACCCCGAACAGGUAAAAUACGCUGAAUUUAGCUAUCAUAAGCGGAGGAAAUCUUAUGCUCGGAGUACAAGUCGAAUCCUGGGGGCGUUUAAACGCGGCGGGAAACCCGGGUACCACUUAUAGCUUGCGAAAA
rnacentral:rRNA from 1 species